rnacentral:rRNA from 1 species
GUAGGGAAUAUUGGGCAAUGGUCGGAAGACUGACCCAGCCAUGCCGCGUGCAGGAAGACGGCCCUCUGGGUUGUAAACUGCUUUUAUCUGGGAAGAAAAAGGCCAUGCGUGGCAACUUGCCGGUACCAGAUGAAUAAGCACCGGCUAACUCCGUGCCAGCAGCCGCGGUAAUACGGAGGGUGCGAGCGUUGUCCGGAUUUAUUGGGUUUAAAGGGUGCGUAGGCGGCUGAUUAAGUCAGCGGUGAAAGACUUCGGCUUAACCGGAGCAGUGCCGUUGAUACUGGUUGGCUUGAGUGUCGGAGGGGUACAUGGAAUUGAUGGUGUAGCGGUGAAAUGCAUAGAUACCAUCAGGAACACCGAUAGCGAAGGCAUUGUACUGGCCGACAACUGACGCUGAUGCACGAAAGUGUGGGGAUCGAACAGGAUUAGAAACCCUUGUAGUCC